rnacentral:rRNA from 1 species
AGCGAACGCUGGCGGCAGGCCUAACACAUGCAAGUCGAGCGGGCAUCCUUGUGGUGUCAGCGGCUGACGGGUGAGUAACGCGUGUGAACGUGCCCUUCGGUUCGUAAUAACUCAGGGAAACUUGAGCUAAUACCGGAUACGUGCGAGAGCAGAAAGGUUUAUCUGCCGAAGGAUCGGCCCGCGUCUGAUUAGCUAGUUGGUGAGGUUAUGGCUCACCACGGCGACGAUCAGUAGCUGGUCUGAGAGGAUGAGCAGCCACACUGGGACUGAGACACGGCCCAGACUCCUACGGGAGGCAGCAGUGGGGAAUAUUGGACAGUGGGGGCAACCCUGAUCCAGCCAUGACGCGUGAGUGAUGACGGCAUUAGGGUUGUAAAGCUCUUUUAUCCGGGAAGAUAAUGACGGUACCGGAGGAAUAAGCCCCGGCUAACUUCGUG